rnacentral:rRNA from 1 species
UACGUAGGUGGCAAGCGUUGUCCGGAAUUACUGGGUGGAAAGGGCGUGUAGGCGGGACUGCAAGUCAGAUGUGAAAUUCACAGGCACAACCUGGGGGCUGCAUCUGAAACUGUGGUUCUUGAGUGCUGGAGAGGAAAUCGGAAUUCCUAGUGUAGCGGUGAAAUGCGUAUAUAUUAGGAGGAAUACCAGUGGCGAAGGCGGCUUUCUGGACAUUAACUAACGCUGAGUCGCGAAAGCGUUGGGAGCAUACAGU